AUGCGUGAUCAGGUCGGCGUCGACCUGGACGGCUUCCCCCUCGACCAUGAGUUCCCGGACGACUACGGGCUAGAGGAAGAGGACGAGUGCGACAUCGACGUGGAGCCUUUGUUCGAGGACGAGCUCGCCAACCAAGCCGUCGGUCCUAAGCCCAAGCGCAAGAGCAAGCGUACGAAGGCGUACACGGUGGCCGAGGACAAGCUUCUUUGCGAGUAUUGGCGAGACAUUGGACAAGACCCGAAGACGGGCGCCGAGCAAAAGCAUUUGACCUUUUGGACUCGUGUGCACCGAGAGUUCCAUCGCAAGAAGUUUUCACCUUACCAAUUUGUGAGCAUGCGCGGGUGGGUCUCCAUUUCCAAGCGGUGGAGGGUGAUCCAACAAGAGUGCAACAAGUUUUACGCCACCCUUAAGAGCGUCAAGGCCUGCCCCUUGAGCGGCAUCGGCAUGCAAGACAUGGUAUGA
rnacentral:rRNA from 1 species